rnacentral:lncRNA from 1 species
GUCAAAGAGUAAGACCCUCAAGGUGCUCUUCUCCUGGGAGAUGGCUCUAGUGAAGAAAGCAGUGGUGGAGGCAGCUGUUUCUCUUCCCAUCCCUGCAUCCACUCUCCUGGCCUCUCCUUUUGGGACUCUCUCCACCCACAGAAGGUCCUGGGGCUGAACUGCAGUCCCAGCUCGAGACCCCCAGUAGGAGACCCCAGGCUGCGCUCUACUUAUUCCCACCCCGUGGGGCUCCUUCGAGACACCCGCGCCCUUCCGGGACCCUAGCCCGUCCCUACCUCCAUCCUGGUCUCGAGGGGCGCCCCAGCUAAGCCGGGCAGCGUCCUGGCCGGGACUGGGCAGCAGGGAGUACAGAGUCGCGGGACCGCUCCUCGGGCUGGACCCUUCUCCAGACCAAAGACGGCGCCUGGGGCGGGGAGAGACGGACCCCCCUUCAUGGAGACAGACACACGCUGACUCCGAUUGACCCAGGUCCCCAACUUCCCCUCAGCAUUAACUAGAACGCUCUCCCCUUUCCAGUGGAGGGCGUCCCACCCUUCUUCCCGGCCCUUCUUUUAACCCACUUCCCCUGGGAGUUUCCGGGACCCCUCCCCUCAAUCCUCCCAUCCCCGGGAUCUCGGGAGACUGUUCCUCCCUCUCUGCUCAGCUGACCCUCCACUUGCCCCCAUUUCUGAGGGAGGUAAGUUGGGGGAGAGUAAAUUCUCUCUCCACUCCCUCCUCCCGAGGCUGGAUUUAACCUGGAAAGUGCUUUGAGAAGGCACCUCCUCCCCCACUCCCUCUGUAGUCUAGUCUAGUGGGUCACGGAGCCCCUACCACCCACCCACCUCCAAGUUGCUCAGCUUCGACCAUUCAGAGGAAAGAAGUUAUGUUAUUUGUGUGUGUUAAAAAUGCGUGUGGAGGUUUUUAUGGUUUUGUUUUGUUUUGACUCUAGUAGAGGGAGCAAACGCUUUGCCUUUCAUUUGGCAAGAAGACCUGGAGGGAGAGAGGGCCCUCCCCACCUACACUCCCCUGCUG